CCUUCACAUUGGUAGAGCUUGGAUUUGAGGCUGCUGGCUGUGGUUUGCACUCACAAGCAUAGGUAGUGUGCUAUAAGAGGGUCAAGUCUUCCGCUAACACCGCAAGGGUCUCUGGCCCAGUAAGUAGAGUUUGAUAGUAAUUCUUGCUACAAGU
ensembl:snoRNA SNORA62 Small nucleolar RNA SNORA62/SNORA6 family